UACGUAGGGGGCAAGCGUUUGUCCGGAAUUAUUGGGCGUAAAGAGCGUGUAGGCGGCCAGAUAAGUCCGCUGUGAAAUCUCGAGGCUCAACUUCGAGCUGUCGGUGGAAACUGUCUGGCUAGAGUCCGGAAGAGGAGAAUGGAAUUCCUGGUGUAGCGGUGAAAUGCGCAGAUAUCAGGAGGAACACCUAUAGCGAAGGCAGCUCGCUGGGACGACACUGACGCUGAGACGCGAAAGCGUGGGGAGCGAACAGG
rnacentral:rRNA from 1 species